rnacentral:ncRNA from 1 species
AAAGACUUAGUCCUAACCUUACUAUUGAUUUAUUGCUAAACAUAUACAUGCAAGUAUCUGCGACCCAGUGCAAAUGCCCUAAAAUUCUUACAAAGACAGAAGGAGCGGGCAUCAGGCGCGCUCGUUUAACUGCAGCCCAAGACGCCUUGCUUAGCCACACCCCCACGGGUAUUCAGCAGUAGUUAGUAUUAAGCAAUAAGCGUAAGCUUGACUUAGUUAUAGCAACCUCUAGGGUUGGUAAAUCUUGUGCCAGCCACCGCGGUCAUACAAGAAGCCCAAACCAAUAGUCAUACGGCGUAAAGAGUGGGACAAUAGCUAUCGUAGCAACUAAGACCAAAAUGCAACUGAGCUGUUAUAAGCCAAUGGUGCCCCUAAGCCCAACCUCAAGACAAUCUUAGCCCUCACGAUCGACUAUCCCCCACGAAAGCUAGGACACAAACUGGGAUUAGAUACCCCACUAUGCCUAGCCUUAAAUCUUGGUGCUUGUCCUCUACCAAAGCACCCGCCUGAGAACUACGAGCACAAACGCUUAAAACUCUAAGGACUUGGCGGUACCCCAAACCCUCCUAGAGGAGCCUGUUCUGUAAUCGACAACCCACGAUACACCCGACCGUUCUUUGCUAAAACAGCCUACAUACCGCCGUCGCCAGCUCACCCUAACUGAGGGUACAACAGUGAGCACAACAGCCUACCUCCGCUAACAAGACAGGUCAAGGUAUAGCCUAUGGAACGGAAGAAAUGGGCUACAUUUUCUAACAUAGAAAACACGAAAGAAGACGUGAAAUCGUCCUCAGAAGGCGGAUUUAGCAGUAAAGCGAGACAAUAAUGCUCCCUUUAAAUUGGCCCUGGGGUACGUACAUACCGCCCGUCACCCUCCUCACAAGCUACAAACUACUAAUAUCUAAUACUCUUAUUAGCUGAAGAUGAGGUAAGUCGUAACAAGGUAAGUGUACCGGAAGGUGUACUUAGCACAC